rnacentral:ncRNA from 1 species
AAGGGGAAUCUGACUGUUUAAUUAAAAUAAAGCAUUGUGAUGGUCCUUGCAGAUGCUGACGCAAUGUGAUUUAUGGCCAGUACUUUGCAUGUGAAAGUGAAGAAAUUCAACCAAGCGUGGGUAAACGACGGGAGUAACUAUGACUCUCUUAAGGUAUCUAGAUGCCUCGUCAUCUAAUUAGUGAUGUGCAUGAAUGGGUUAAUGAGAUUCCCACUAUCCCUAGCUACUAUCUAUAGAAACCAUAACCAAGGGAACGGGCUUGGAAAAAUUAGCGGGUAAAGAAGACCUUGUUGAGCUUGACUCUAGUCCGAAUUUGUGAAAUGGCUUGAGAGGUGUAUAAUAAGUGUGAGCCAUUUUCAAAGAAAGUGAAAUAACACUACUUUUAGCGUUAUUUUACUUAUUUCGUGGGGUGGAUAUAGGGCAUUGCACAUAUAUUAAAAGAUAACGCACAUUUCUUCAAAGUGUUUUCAUUGAUGGAAAUGGUCGAGAGCUCAUUCUUUGCACCCUUGAUGGAAAUGAUUUUAGGAAACCAAAGAGGAUCAUUUCUUUUAAGGAUGAAGAAAAUUCAUAUCCCUAUGUUUUUAUCCAACAUCCCCCUAUAAUUAUCUAUGUUAUGGUUCCUCAUUGAAAAUUGGUGACUUGAGUCCUCAUAGACUUAGAGAGUGGGUGGCUUAUGAUGC